rnacentral:rRNA from 1 species
UUGUCUAAAGGAUUAAGCCAUGCAUGCGAAAGUACAGGCUCAUUUAAGUAGUCGAAACUGCGAACGGCUCCUUACAACAGUUAUAAUCUACUUGGGAGUUCAAUAUGGAUAACUACGGAAACGCUGUAGCUAAUACAUCGUACCUACUAAAGUAAAUGCUUUCGGGUAUUUACUUUAGAGGCCAACUCGUUGGAAUUGCAGCCACCCGCAUUGAAGGGGAGUCACAACGAGGGAGCUACGCGUCGGUCUAAUAUAACAGACCGUUUUCUAAGCGCGUACCAAAUGAGUUUCUGAUCUAUCAGCUGGUCGCCAAGGUAUUGUCUUGGUGUGGCUAUGACGGAUAACGGGGAAUUAGAGUUCGAUUCCGGAGAGGGCGCCUGAGAGAUGGCGACUAUAACUACGGUUAGCAGCAGGCGCGAAAAUUGCCCAAUGCCGACAAGGCGAGGCAGCGACCAGACAUACCGGGACCCCGUCAUUUUUUGGUGGAGUCAUUGGAUUCGACCUCCUCUAAACCAGGAGGUGAGAGGCAGUUUAGAUCAAGUUGAAGUGCCAGCAUUCGCGGUAAUACUUCCUUAAACGAAUGUAUGUUAAAGUUGUUGCGGUUAAAACGCUCGUAGUUGAUUGUCCCGCCGGGUAUUGGAUAUCCAGCUUUCUUCGGGAAGUUUUUGGAUUGUCCGAAACCCAAGCGGAUCAUUCCCUUUAUUAAUGGUUCUCUUCGGAGGAUCCUCUUAUAAGGGGAAUAUGUUACCUUGAGUAAAUUAGAGUGUUCCAAGCAGGCUUGUCUGUUUGAAUAUCCCAGCAUGGAAUAACUUUAUUGCGCGACGUCUCUCUUAUCCCGAAAGGGAGUGUGUGGUGCGUUUUAGGGCAACCUAAAACGUGGUGCUGCGAGAGAUGUGGUGCCGAUUAAUAGGAGCAGUUGGGGGCAUCCGUACUCCGAAGCUAGAGGUGAAAUUCUGUGACUUUCGGAAGACGAACAACUGCGAAGGCACUUGCCCAAAAUGCGUCCAUUAAUCAAGAGCGAAGUUAUGGGCAUCGAAAAAGAUCAGAGACCUUUGUAAUCCAUAAAGUAAACUAUGCCGUCCGGGGCGGAGUUGGCUACAUAGAUUUGCCUGCAUUCUAUGCGUAUGCAGGAGAAGUUUCGGCUUCUUUUGUUCUAUGUAUAGAGUAUUGCAGGUAGAUCGCUCGGUGCUUAUUCUGCCCCCGUGAGAAAUCCGAGAUUUUGGGUUCCGGGGCGAGUAUAAGCGCAAGCUAGAAAGUUAAAAGAAUUGACGGAGGGGCACCACAAAGCGUGGAGCUUGCGGCUUAAUUUGACUCAACACGGGAAACCUCACUAGCGUAGGACAGCGGAAGGAUUGACAGGGUUGCAGACCUUUCUUGAUUCGCUGGAGGGUGAUGCAUGGCCGUUCCUAGCUCUUGGCGUGGGCUGUCUGGUUAAUUCCGAUAACGAGCGGGACCUCCCCCUUCACUUCCGCCGGGCGCCAUGAUCUCGGAAUGAUUGAAUAUAGUGGCUCUAUUUCUGUCCUUAUUCUACUGUAUGUAUAUCUUAGCAUUUUGCAAAAAGUGGUAAGUGUGUGCAUAUAUGUGUUUAAGUGUACGAAAUGGAUGUCCUUACUGUAUUUAAUCAUUUCGAGGGCGCUAUUUACGUUUUGCGUGCGUGAAGGGACGUCGCGUGUCUAACGCGAGGCAGGGAGGCAACAACAGGUCUGUGAUGUCCUCAGAUAUGCUAGGCUGCACGCGUGCUACACUGACGCGCGCAACGGGCGUUCGUACAUUCGGUUUUUCUUUUUUCUCUUUAUGGGAAAGAAGAAUUAAUCGAUUGUUUGCCCCUCCUGAGAAGGCGGGGGAAUCCCUAAUGCGCGUCGUGACGGGGAUCGAAUCUUGCAAUUAGGAUUCUUGAACGAGGAAUGCUUAGUAAGCGCAACUCAUAAGGUUGCGCUGUAUGCGUAACUGCCCUUUGCACACACCGCCCGUCGUUGCUUUUAAUGGAGUGCCAAGUGACUUGCUUGGAGGUCGAAAUGGAUUUUCAUUUCGCCAAAGUGCUGGGAACUUUGUACUCUAGAGAAAG